rnacentral:rRNA from 1 species
GAAACGGCGUCCCAGUUCGGAUUGCAGCCUGCAACUCGGCUGCAUGAAGCUGGAAUCGCUAGUAAUCGCGGAUCAGAAUGCCGCGGUGAAUACGUUCCCGGGUCUUGUACACACCGCCCGUCACACCAUGGGAGUCGGGAAUGCCCGAAGUCAGUGACCCAACCGAAAGGGGGAGCUGCCGAAGGCAGGCCUGGUAACUGGGGUGAAGUCGUAACAAGGUAAC